GGGGGUGUGGCUCAGUGGUAGAGCGUCCGCUUUGCAUGAUCUGGUUUGCGGAAGGUCCGGGUAUGAAGAAACACAAUUGUAUAUUCGUUGUUCUAAGAUCUAAUAAUGGUUGUUAGGUUUCGAUCACCCGCUCCUCCA
rnacentral:tRNA from 2 species